AUGUGUGCUCCAGAGGAUAACCUUUGUACUGCACAGCAAAGAACUCGACACCUAAUCAGCAGAGGCUGGGCUGGGCCGUUUACUAAGGAAUGUUCAGAUGAAGUGCAGGGAAAAGCAAUCCAGCGUCCCCCCUCUGAACUUUUUGCUCUCCAAUUUCCAGCCUUUAAUUCCCUUCAGACAGAGGGGAACUCAGAUCCUAAGAAUCCAUACACUUCAAGCCUUUGGCAUUUACUAUAUUUUACAUCUGGGAAUUCAGUAAGCAACACUUCUGUGGAAAGUGUUUAGGUUCAGGUCAACCAAAGUGAAUCUUUGAACGUAUUCAUUCCUAAAAAAAAAAAAAAAAGGCAUUUAGGUAAGCACUUGUUUUUAUUUAGUCUUUAACUCUGUACUCUCUACCACCUGGCGGCUUUUUGUGUUAUUACCAUAGUAACACUGGUCAGUUGUCUCCAGGAAUUGAGGAAAUUCUUGUCCUUCAUGCCUAAUUAUCGCGAGUUAAUUUGUCAUUUCCCAUUAUAAAAGCAGUAUAUAUUUAUUGUAGAAUAUUUGAAAAUUAUAGAAAAGCAUAAUGAAAAAAAUCUAUCCACAAUUUCAGUACACAGUGAUAAAUACUGUUAAACAUCUGCUUACCGUUAAAACAUGACCUACUAGUCUUUCAAUCUCUCUCUCUAUGUAUAUAUAGAGUGUAUAUGUGCAUAUAAACACAAAUUGGUAACAUACUAUCAUACUAUAUAUAUAUAUAUGGUCAUAGGUCGUUUUUUACCUUAUCAUUACAGCAAGAACAUAUUUCCGUUUUAUUAAAUAUUCUUUGCAAACAUUUUAAUGACCACAUAGUAGUCUAUCUUAUAUCUUACCAGUAUUUAAAAUUAUUUUCAACUUUUUGCUACUGUAAAUAUUAAUCCUUCUUGUGCAGAAAUGUUUUAACUGAACUCAGCCUUGCUUAACACAAAUUAAGGUAAGAUUGGAGUUACUGGCUAAAAGGUAGUGACAAUACUAGGUAUCUUGAUAUAUUUUUCUCAAAUUGCCCUCCGGAAACACGCUUGUUUGCAUGCCCACUAGCAGAGUAAUUUCCCACAGCUUCAUACAGAGCACUUUCAUCACAGCUUCUCCAAGAAUGAAUGUUAACUUUAAAAACAGCUCUGUCUAUCUAAUAGUGAAGGAGGAUGUCUCAUUGUUUUGAUUCACUUUCCUUUUAUUACUAUUGAGGUUGGACUUUUUUUCUCAUGGUGGUUGACUCAUCUUAAAAAGACAGCAGUUUUUCAGCAACUUUGUUUAAGACAAACCAGCGAUGACAAUUCACAAGUAACUCCAUUGCACUGACAUCUUCACAGUUGUACUAAUUCUCAGCCUCCUAGAGUCCAUGAAGGUAACUUUUUAAAAAAGAAAUAAACUGUUGAUUAUAAUAACA
rnacentral:lncRNA from 1 species